rnacentral:rRNA from 1 species
AGAGUUUGAUCCUGGCUCAGAUUGAACGCUGGCGGCAGGCCUAACACAUGCAAGUCGAGCGGCAGCGGGAAGGUAGCUUGCUACUUUUGCCGGCGAGCGGCGGACGGGUGAGUAAUGCCUGGGAAAUUGCCCAGUCGAGGGGGAUAACAGUUGGAAACGACUGCUAAUACCGCAUACGCCCUACGGGGGAAAGCAGGGGACCUUCGGGCCUUGCGCGAUUGGAUAUGCCCAGGUGGGAUUAGCUUGUUGGUGAGGUAAUGGCUCACCAAGGCGACGAUCCCUAGCUGGUCUGAGGGGAUGAUCAGCCACACUGGAACUGAGACACGGUCCAGACUCCUACGGGAGGCAGCAGUGGGGAAUAUUGCACAAUGGGGGAAACCCUGAUGCAGCCAUGCCGCGUGUGUGAAGAAGGCCUUCGGGUUGUAAAGCACUUUCAGCGAGGAGGAAAGGUUGGUAGCUAAUAACUGCCAACUGUGACGUUGCUCGCACAAGAAGCACCGGCUAACUCCGUGCCAGCAGCCGCGGUAAUACGGAGGGUGCAAGCGUUAAUCGGAAUUACUGGGCGUAAAGCGCACGCAGGCGGUUGGAU